AGGUAAUGGUGUGUUAGACAAACC
rnacentral:siRNA from 1 species